UACAUGGGGUGCAAACGUUGCUCGGAAUUAUUGGGCGUAAAGCGCGCGUAGGCGGUUACUCAAGUCGGAUGUGAAAGCCCUCGGCUUAACUGAGGAAGUGCACCCGAAACUGAGUAGCUAGAGUACCAAAGAGGGUCGCGGAAUUCCCGGUGUAGAGGUGAAAUUCGUAGAUAUCGGGAGGAACACCGGUGGCGAAGGCGGUUCUCUGGGCCUUACCUGACGCUGAGGAGCGAAAGCGUGGGGAGCGAACAGG
rnacentral:rRNA from 1 species